rnacentral:misc_RNA from 1 species
GAUGAAGAACGUAGCGAAAUGCGAUAAGUAAUGUGAAUUGCAGAAUUCAGUGAAUCAUCGAAUCUUUGAACGCACAUUGCGACCGCCAGUAUUCUGGCGGGCAUGCCUGUCUGAGCGUCAUUUCAACCCUCAUGCCCCUAGGGCGUGGUGUUGGGGAUCGGCCAAAGCCCGCGAGGGACGGCCGGCCCCUAAAUCUAGUGGCGGACCCGUCGUGGCCUCCUCUGCGAAGUAGUGAUAUUCCGCAUCGGAGAGCGAUGAGCCCCUGCCGUUAAACCCCCAACUUUCCAAGGUUGACCUCAGAUCAGGUAGGAAUACCCGCUGAACUUAAGCAUAUCAAUAAGCGGAGA